rnacentral:rRNA from 1 species
GACGAACGCUGGCGGCGUGCUUAACACAUGCAAGUCGAACGGAGUGGCGAACGGGUGAGUAACACGUGGGUGACCUGCCCUGCACUUCGGGAUAAGCCUGGGAAACUGGGUCUCAUACCGGGUAGUGUGGGAUGGGCCCGCGGCUUAUCAGCGUGUGGGUGGUGUAAUGGCCUACCAAGGCGUCGACGGGUAGCCGGCCUGAGAGGGUGGCCGGCCACAGUGGGACGGAGACACGGCCCAGACUCCUACGGGAGGCAGCAGUGGGGAAUAUUGCACAAUGGGCGGAAGCCUGAUGCAGCGACGCCGCGGGGGGGAUGACGGCCUUCGGGUUGUAAACUCCUUUCACCAUCGACGCGGUAGAUGGAGAAGAAGCACCGGCUAACUACGUGCCAGCCGCCGCGGUAAUAC